AGAGUUUGAUCCUGGCUCAGAAUCAACGCUGGCGGCGUGCCUAACACAUGCAAGUCGAACGAGAAAGGGGAGCAAUCCCUGAGUAAAGUGGCGCACGGGUGAGUAACACGUGACUAACCUACCCUGAAGUGGGGGAUAACCUAGGGAAACCUGGGCUAAUACCGCAUAACACCCACGGGUCAAAGGAGCAAUUCGCUUCA
rnacentral:rRNA from 1 species